AUAAUUUAAAGGGCCGCGGUAUUCUGACCGUGCAAAGGUAGCAUAAUCGUUAGUUUUUUAAUUGGAAUCUUGUAUGAAUGGUUGGACAAAAGAAAGUCUGUCUCUGUAUUAUUAGUUGAAUUUAACUUUUGAGUGAAAAGGCUUAAAUAAAUUAAAGGGACGAUAAGACCCUAUAAAGCAUUAUAUUGGGGCGAUAAUAGUAAAAAGAUUAACUGCUUAAUUUUUAAUACAAAUAUAAAUGAAAUGAUCCUAAUUAAAGAUUAAAAGUUUAAGUUACUUUAGGGAUAACAGCGUUAUUUUUUUUGAGAGUUCUUAUCGAAAAAAAAGUUUGCGACCUCGAUGUUGAAUCAAAAUAUCUAUAUAAUUGCAGAAGUUAUAUAAGAAGGUCUGUUCGACCUUUAAAUUUUU
rnacentral:rRNA from 1 species